GGCUUCGUGGUUGAGUGGUAAGAGCACUUGCCUCUCACCCUGGAGCCCCAGGUUCGAUCCCCGGUCAAGGAACUA
rnacentral:tRNA from 1 species